GAGUUUGAUCAUGGCUCAGGAUGAACGCUAGCGAAAUGCCUAACACAUGCAAGUCGAACGGAUCUUGCGCUGUACUUGUACAGAGUAAGAUUAGUGGCAAACGAGCGAGUAACGCGUGCUUAACCUGCCCCGAAGAUGGGUAUAACUGCAGAGAUGUAGCUAAUUCCCAAUAUGCUCACGAUGGUGAAAUCCCAAUGUGAGGAAAGAUUUAUCGCUUCGGGAGGGGGGUGCGUCCUAUCAGGUAGUUGGUAAGGUAACGGCUUACCAAGCCUAUGACGGGUAACCGGUCUGAGAUGAUGUCCGGUCGCGAUGGGACUGAGAUACGGCCCAUACUCCUACGGGAGGCAGCAGUGGGGAAUCUUGCACAAUGGACGAAAGUCUGAUGCAGCAAUUUCGCGUGAAGGAUGAAGCAUUACGGUGUGUAAACUUCUUUUUUGGAGGAAGAC
rnacentral:rRNA from 1 species